rnacentral:lncRNA from 1 species
AGCAUUUAAAUUAUAUAUGUGAGUGAAUUGAUAACUCACAUGCCUAGUUACCACUGUUCUGAUAAUGUAAGCAUAGAAUGGAACAAAGGUAACCAAGCAUUUAAAUUAUAUAUGUGAGUGAACUGGAUAACUCACAUGCCUAGUUACCACUGUUCUGAUAAUGUAAGCAUAGAAUGGAACAAAGGUAACCAAGCAUUUAAAUUAUAUAUGUGAGUGAAUUGGGUGGCAUAACU